AGAAGCUGCACCAUGUCCAUGUCACCCACGGUCAUCAUCCUGGCAUGUCUUGGGUUCUUCUUGGACCAGAGUGUGUGGGCACACGUGGGUGGUCAGGACAAGCCCUUCUGCUCUGCCUGGCCCAGCGCUGUGGUGCCUCAAGGAGGACACGUGACUCUUCGGUGUCACUGUCGUCGUGGGUUUAACAUCUUCACGCUGUACAAGAAAGAUGGGGUCCCUGUCCCUGAGCUCUACAACAGAAUAUUCUGGAACAGUUUCCUCAUUAGCCCUGUGACCCCAGCACACGCAGGGACCUACAGAUGUCGAGGUUUUCACCCGCACUCCCCCACUGAGUGGUCGGCACCCAGCAACCCCCUGGUGAUCAUGGUCACAGGUCUAUAUGAGAAACCUUCGCUUACAGCCCGGCCGGGCCCCACGGUUCGCGCAGGAGAGAACGUGACCUUGUCCUGCAGCUCCCAGAGCUCCUUUGACAUCUACCAUCUAUCCAGGGAGGGGGAAGCCCAUGAACUUAGGCUCCCUGCAGUGCCCAGCAUCAAUGGAACAUUCCAGGCCGACUUCCCUCUGGGUCCUGCCACCCACGGAGAGACCUACAGAUGCUUCGGCUCUUUCCAUGGAUCUCCCUACGAGUGGUCAGACCCGAGUGACCCACUGCCUGUUUCUGUCACAGACUCUGAUGAACAAGACCCUCAGGAGGUGACAUACGCACAGUUGGAUCACUGCAUUUUCACACAGAGAAAAAUCACUGGCCCUUCUCAGAGGAGCAAGAGACCCUCAACAGAUACCAGCGUGUGUAUAGAACUUCCAAAUGCUGAGCCCAGAGCGUUGUCUCCUGCCCAUGAGCACCACAGUCAGGCCUUGAUGGGAUCUUCUAGGGAGACAACAGCCCUGUCUCAAACCCAGCUUGCCAGCUCUAAUGUACCAGCAGCUGGAAUCUGAAGGCGUGAGUCUCCAUCUUAGAGCAUCACUCUUCCUCACACCACAAAUCUGGUGCCUGUCUCUUGCUUACCAAUGUCUAAGGUCCCCACUGCCUGCUGCAGAGAAAACACACUCCUUUGCUUAGCCCACAAUUCUCUAUUUCACUUGACCCCUGCCCACCUCUCCAACCUAACUGGCUUACUUCCUAGUCUACUUGAGGCUGCAAUCACACUGAGGAACUCACAAUUCCAAACAUACAAGAGGCUCUCUCUUAACACGGCACUUAGACACGUGCUGUUCCACCUUCCCUCGUGCUGUUCCACCUUUCCUCAGACUAUUUUUCAGCCUUCUGGCAUCAGCAAACCUUAUAAAAUUUUUUUGAUUUCAGUGUAGUUCUCUCCUCUUCAAAUAAACAUGUCUGCCUUCA
rnacentral:misc_RNA from 1 species